UUACUGUGUUUGACGAGUUGAGGUGCUCUUCACCAUUCCCUAACCCGUCAGGUUUACUUUGAAAAAAUUAGAGUGCUCAAAGCAGGCUUCAAGCUUUAAUAUUUGUGCAUGGAAUAAUGGAAUAGGAAGUCGUUUCUAUUUUGUUGGUUUUCGGAAAUUGACUUAAUGAUUAAUAGGGACAGCCGGGGGCAUUAGUAUUCAGACGCUAGAGGUGAAAUUCGUGGACCGUUUGAAGACUAACUACUGCGAAAGCAUUUGCCAAGAGUGUUUUCAUUAAUCAAGAACGAAAGUUAGAGGUUCGAAGGCGAUCAGAUACCGCCCUAGUUCUAACCAUAAACGAUGCCAGCUAGCGAUC
rnacentral:rRNA from 1 species